CCUACGGGAGGCAGCAGUGGGGAAUCUUGCGCAAUGGGCGGAAGCCUGACGCAGCAACGCCGCGUGCGGGAAGAAGGCCUUAGGGUCGUAAACCGCUUUCAGGGGGGACGAAGCUUCCGGGGUUAAUAGCCUACGGGGUGACGGUACUCCCAAAAGAAGGUCCGGCUAACUACGUGCCAGCAGCCGCGGUAAUACGUAGGGACCGAGCGUUGUCCGGAAUCAUUGGGCGUAAAGAGCGUGUAGGCGGCUUGGUAGGUCUCGUGUGAAAUCCCGCGGCUCAACCGCGGAUCCGCACGGGAAACCCCGUAAGCUCGAGUCCGGAAGAGGAGAGUGGAAUUCCUGGUGUAGCGGUGAAAUGCGCAGAUAUCAGGAAGAACACCCGUAGCGAAGGCGGCUCUCUGGGACGGUACUGACGCUGAGACGCGAAAGCGUGGGGAGCAAACAGGAUUAGAUACCCUGGUAGUCCACGCCGUAAACGAUGGGCGCUAGGUGUGGGAGGUGUCGACUCCUCCCGUGCCGAAGCUAACGCAUUAAGCGCCCCGCCUGGGGAGGUACGGCCGCGAGACGAACUACAANAGAUAGACGCGUGAGACGNGCCGACGGACGACGACGAGGGAGUAGG
rnacentral:rRNA from 1 species